GACGAACGCUGGCGGCGUGCUUAACACAUGCAAGUCGAACGGAAAGGCCCUGCUUUUGUGGGGUGCUCGAGUGGCGAACGGGUGAGUAACACGUGAGUAACCUGCCCUUGACUUUGGGAUAACUUCAGGAAACUGGGGCUAAUACCGGAUAGGAGCUCCUGCUGCAUGGUGGGGGUUGGAAAGUUUCGGCGGUUGGGGAUGGACUCGCGGCUUAUCAGCUUGUUGGUGGGGUAGUGGCUUACCAAGGCUUUGACGGGUAGCCGGCCUGAGAGGGUGACCGGCACAAUUGGACUGAGAUACGGCCCAGACUCCUACGGGAGGCAGCAGUGGGGAAUAUUGCACAAUGGGCGGAAGCCUGAUGCAGCAACGCCGCGUGCGGGAUGACGGCCUUCGGGUUGUAAACCGCUUUCGCCUGUGACGAGGCGUGAGUGACGGUAAUGGGUAAAGAAGCACCGGCUAACUACGUG
rnacentral:rRNA from 1 species